rnacentral:rRNA from 1 species
GACAUAGGUCGCAAACGUUAUCCGGAAUUAUUGGGCGUAAAGCGUCCGUAGAUGGUUUUGUCAGUCUGCUGUCAAAGCACAGGGCUUAACCCUGUAAAGGCAGUGGAAACUACAAGACUAGAGUGCAGUAGGGGCAGAGGGAAUUCCCAGUGUAGCGGUGAAAUGCGUAGAGAUUGGGAAGAACAUCCGUGGCGAAAGCGCUCUGCUGGACUGCAACUGACAUUGAGGGACGAAAGCUAGGGGAGCGAAUGGG